UUUAAAUUGAGAGUUUGAUCCUGGCUCAGGACGAACGCUGGCGGCGUGCCUAACACAUGCAAGUCGAGCGAUGAAACC
rnacentral:rRNA from 1 species